AUGAGCUCCAGGAACCGCUCCGCCGCCCCCGCCGCCGCGCCGACGGUGCCGUCGCUGCGGACGCCGCGCCGCCUGCGCCGGCGCCCGCUCAGGGCCCCGGGGUCGGGCGGCGGGCGGCGGAGCGGGCCCGCCACGCCGCUGCUCAGGUGGGACGCGGGGGUCGCCAAUGGGGCGCCCGACAAGCGCGGGGAGAAGCCGGGGGCCGGGCCUGGACCCGGCCCGCGGGAGAAGGCGCGGGACGUGUCGGUGAGGCGGCUCGCGGCCGGCGUGUGGCGGCUGCGGCCCCCGGAGGCGGUCGUCGGCGGCCACGGCGGAGGCGGCGGCGGCGGCGGCGAGGGCAGAGUUCACGUCGGGCUCGAGCAUAUCCCGAGGCAUCUACAAGUCCAGCUUCUUAAACAAGACACCUUGGGUCAUCAUCAGAGUCUUAAGAAUGAGAUUUCAAGCCCAAUUUCUGUUUUGGAGCGAAAGAGUGAAGAGCUUCACAAGGUACAGUUUCAUGGUUCUUCACCUAUGAUACCUGUUACCACCAUGGAGAAAGCAACAAAAUGGGAGCCUGAGAACAUGAAAGGAAUGGAAUCACAUGAUGCCUAUCUGAUAGCCAGCCAACUGAAUCUUUUGGAUGAGCAGCAAGAUGCAUCCUAUGUUGCUAACCUCCAGUUAGAACUCCGGCAAGCACGUGAUCGGGUGGGUGAGCUGGAAAGCGAGCGCCGGUCAACUAAGAAGAAACUUGACCACUUGUUCAAGAAGCUUGCCGAGGAGAAAGCAGCUUGGCGCAGUAGAGAGCAUGAGAAGAUGCGUGCUGUUCUUGAAGAUAUGAAGGCAAACCUUGAUCAUGAGAAGAAAAACAGGAGGCGGCUGGAGCUGAUUAACAUGAAGCUCGUCAAUGAGCUGAAGGAGACCAAGAUGUCAGCAAACCAGCUGGUGCAAGAGUAUGAUGAGGAGAGGAAGACUCGGGAGCUCACCGAGGAGGUGUGCAACGAGCUAGCAAGGGAGGUGGAGGAAGACAAAGCCGAGAUCGAGGCCUUGAAACAUGACAUCCAGAAGCUGCGAGAGGAGGUGGAUGAGGAGCGGAAGAUGCUGCAGAUGGCUGAGGUGUGGCGCGAAGAACGGGUGCAGAUGAAGCUUGUUGACGCAAAACUCACCUUGGAUGCCAAAUACACAGAACUGAGCAGACUGCAGCAGGAUGUUGAGGCCUUUGUUGCUGGAUGCAGUUCUGCUAGAGGAGACAUCACAGUAGUGGAACAAGCGGAGAACAUUAUACAUGCAAUCAAGUCAGUCAGAGCACAGGAUGUUGAAUUCAGGUAUGAGCCACCAGCAGAAUCAGAGGACAUAUUCUCAAUUUUCGAAGAGCUGCGUCCAAGCGAAGAGCCUGUCAUUAAGGACAUCGAGCAGUGCUACAAGAACAGCUCCAUUGUAUGUGAAUCAGAGAUCCAAGAGGCCAGCCCAAUGACAGAUAUAUUCCUGGAGAAGCCAGCCAAGGCGGCGUACUCGAAUAAGAACCCUCACAAUGAGAGUGAAGCUGGAGAUGCCAGCAGCUGGGAGACAAUAAGCCAUGAAGAUAUGCAGGGUUCAAGUGGUUCACCCGACGGAAGCCAGUCGUCGAUCAACAAGAUCUUUGACGGGAGCAUCUCCUGGACGAGCAGAAACGAUUUCGAGUACGGGGAGAUCGAGAAGCUGAAGGAUGAUCUGGCCGACGCAUACCUGAUGACCAUGACCCAGCCCAAGAAGAAAGAGUCAGCCAUCUCAAAGCUCUGGAAGUCGUCUCGCCCAAAGAACAGCGAUGUCUCCAAGAAGGAUGCCACGGAGGCACUGAACGGCAGAUCAUCGAACGUGCGGCUGUCGGUCGGGACCCAUUCCACCAUCGAGAGCGGCGUUCAGGACAUCGGCCUCAGCUCGCCGAGCGUGGGGCAGUGGAGCUCGCCGGACUCGAUGAACAUCCAAUUCAACCGCGGCUUCAGGGGCUGCAUGGAGUACCCGCGGGCGUCCCAGAAGCACAGCCUGAAGGAGAAGCUCAUGGAGGCGCGGAUGGUGAGCCAGAAGGUGCAGCUCCGCCAGGUGCUCAAGCAGAAGAUCUAG
rnacentral:rRNA from 1 species